GAAGAAGGAGAAGAAGGAACCGAGAAGAAGGUAUCAGCAACAACGGGUUUUAUUGUGGGAGUCAUUUUAAUCUACGAUCAUAGGACUCUUCAGGAAAGAAGAAAGAAGACUUCAAGAACAGAGGAAAGGAAGAAGGUGAAAGUGAGUUUAAUAGCAGCAAUAAGAAAGCUGAUGAAAACAGAGAAGUUAACAACAGAAAUUACAGAAUUCGUAGAGUAGAUUUACCUUUGAGAAAUCGGUUUUCAAUUUUCAAUUUGUAAAGUCAAACUCUGUUCUUACUUCAGUUAGUUUGUUAGUACUGUUAAGCUGGUUAGUUUCAUUCAGUUAAAGCUCUUCAGCAGAUAUAAAAGCUGAUCAGAUAAGAGCAAGAAGGGUGAAGCAUUUUCUCUAUUGAAAACAGAACACUCAUUUGAAUGAUAUACGACUUUACUCUCUGUAUC
rnacentral:lncRNA from 1 species